AUUGGAAGUAAAAAAUCGUAACAAGGUCUCCGUUGGUGAACCAGCGGAGGGAUCAUUACCGAGUUUACAACUCCCAAACCCAAUGUGAACGUUACCAAUCUGUUGCCUCGGCGGGAUUCUCUGCCCCGGGCGCGUCGCAGCCCCGGAUCCCAUGGCGCCCGCCGGAGGACCAACUCAAACUCUUUUUUCUCUCCGUCGCGGCCUACGUCGCGGCUCUGUUUUAUUUUUGCUCUGAGCCUUUCUCGGCGACCCUAGCGGGCGUCUCGAAAAUGAAUCAAAACUUUCAACAACGGAUCUCUUGGUUCUGGCAUCGAUGAAGAACGCAGCGAAAUGCGAUAAGUAAUGUGAAUUGCAGAAUUCAGUGAAUCAUCGAAUCUUUGAACGCACAUUGCGCCCGCCAGUAUUCUGGCGGGCAUGCCUGUCCGAGCGUCAUUUCAACCCUCGAACCCCUCCGGGGGGUCGGCGUUGGGGAUCGGCCCCUCACCGGGCCGCCCCCGAAAUACAGUGGCGGUCUCGCCGCAGCCUCUCCUGCGCAGUAGUUUGCACACUCGCACCGGGAGCGCGGCGCGGCCACAGCCGUAAAACACCCCAAACUCUGAAAUGUUGACCUCGGAUCAGGUAGGAAUACCCGCUGAACUUAAGCAUAUCAAAAGGCCGGAGGAA
rnacentral:rRNA from 1 species